rnacentral:piRNA from 1 species
UUCAAAGAACUAAAGAGGGUCGUGGC